rnacentral:rRNA from 1 species
CCCUUAGAUGUUCUGGGCCGCAUACGCGCUACACUGAAGGAGGCAGCGUGUACUCCUGGAUCGAAAGAUUUGGGUAACCCGCGAAUCUCCUUCGUGCUAGGGAUUGAGGUUUGCAAUUAUCCUUCAUGAACGAGGAAUUCCCAGUAAGUGCAAGUCAUAAGCUUGCGCUGACUACGUCCCUGCCCUUUGUACACACCGCCCGUCGCUACUACCGAUUGAAUGAUUUAGUGAGGACUUCGGACUGGGACCGAUGCGGCUUUCGGGCUGCGUCGGUAUUCUGGAAAGAUGUCCAAACUGUAUCAUUUAGAGGAAGUAAAAGUCGUAACA